rnacentral:lncRNA from 10 species
GAGUCUGGUGGAUUUGGCAUGUCUUCCAGUCAUUGUUGCACGUGUGUUUACUGAGAAAGAAAAUAUGAGGAUUUUAAAAGAUGCAAAUAGUAAUUUGAUCCUGUCAUUAUGGUGUUAGCUGGUUAUUUUGCUUGUUAGUUGAUGCAGUUUCUUCCUAGCCUUGAUGGUCUUUACAAUUUGGCAUGUUUUUGCAGUGGCUGGUACCAGAGGAGCUGUGUUCCUUUGAAGGAGAAGAGGCACUCUGAUUUUUAGAGUUUCCGGUUUUUCUGCUCUGUUUUGUCCUCAUCUUUGUGGUUUCAUCUACCUUUGGUCUUUGAUGAGGCAAAAGAAGACUGGCAUCUUUAAUACAGAGAAAGUUGACAACUCCAGAGAGGAACAGGGUAAGCAAACAUUAUGGAAUUAUGUUUGUAGCAAGAAGAUGGGAAAAUGCAAAAUCCAUCAUAUUACGUGAUUGUGUGUAGGAAGUCAUAACUUUCAAAAACUUCAAAAAGAAACUACAACAAAAGCUUUGAGAGGGCCCAGAUCAUGGGAAGUUUCGGUACCAGUUGGGGUAGAAGUGUAUUAAAAGGUUAUUGAUUCUCUUUAAUAUGAUUCUAGCUAUCUAAAGUAAGAAAUUUAACUUAAUUACCUUGUUAAAAAUCCUGUCUCCAAAUAUAGUCACAUUAGUCUUGGGCACUGGAGGUCAGGACUAGAACAUAGGAAUUUGGAGAAGGAACACAAUUCAGCCCAAAACAGACCCCAAAUCUACCCAAUAACAAGUUUCAAUCUUAAUUGCAAUUGAACCAGAUUUGGCAAGGACUAACCCAACUCAGAUUUUCUAGGCAUCUAAAUGUUUAAAUAUGUAUUGCACAUGUGUUUCACCUCACCUGCUCUUUUUCCCUGGUGUGCAUUGGUUUUAGCUGUCACUCCUUUGGUUUAGAAAAUUACUCCACCCAGUUCCACAAUUAGCUUUAAUGAAGAAGUUAAAAAUCACCCUUCUUAAUGACUCUCUGCUUAGAAUUUGAUCACUGAAGUUAUGUUGAUUCAAUAUUUUGAAUACUUUCAAUCCAAAUUUACAGAAACACAUAGAAAUUAGUGAGUAUUGUAAAAAAUGUCAAUUUCUGAUAUGUUUACUUUCUCAUUUUGGUAGUGAAAGAAACAAAGCAUAAUGAAUUUCCAGGGGGGAAAAAAGGGCUCUCACUGUGAUAAAUACAGGGAAGAGAAAUUGACCCUUUAAGAAGGGGCAUUAAUCCUUAAGUGGUAUCAUUGUUUACUGUUUUGCCCAUUCAGUAUGAUAUUGGCUGUGGGUUUGUCAUAGA